GGGCCGGUGGUGAAGCCUGGUAGUCACGCCGGAUUUGCAAUCCGGAGUUCCCGGGUUCGAAUCCCGGCCGGUCCA
rnacentral:tRNA from 1 species